UACGUUUCAUCCUUUCGGGUGGCUGAUAACCCCACAUAUUCAUGAUCUGGCCUCAAAUCAGGUAGGGCUACCCGCUGAACUUAAGCAUAUCAAUAAGCGGAGGAAAAGAAACUAACUAGGAUUCCCUUAGUAACGGCGAGUGAACCGGGAUGAGCUCAAAUUUGAAAUCUGGCGUCUUUCAGGCGUCCGAGUUGUAAUCUAUAGAGGCGUUUUCCGCGCCGGACCGCGUCCAAGUCUCUUGGAAUAGAGUAUCAAAGAGGGUGACAAUCCCGUACUUGACGCGACAACCGGUGCUCUGUGAUACGUUCUCAAUGAGUCGAGUUGUUUGGGAAUGCAGCUCUAAAUGGGUGGUAAAUUCCAUCUAAGGCUAAAUAUUGGCGAGAGACCGAUAGCGAACAAGUACCGUGAGGGAAAGAUGAAAAGCACUUUGGAAAGAGAGUUAAACAGCACGUGAAAUUGUUAAAAGGGAAACGAUUGAAGUCAGUCGUGUGGGAAGUAUUCAGCCGUCUCUGGCGGUGUAUUUGCUUCUCACGGGUCAACAUCAGUUUGAUCCGGUAGAAAAAGGCUGGAAGAAG
rnacentral:rRNA from 1 species